rnacentral:rRNA from 1 species
AACGAACGCUGGCGGCAUGCCUAACACAUGCCAGUCGAACGAGACCUUCGGGUCUAGUGGCGCACGGGUGCGUAACGCGGGGGAACCUGCCCUUAGGCUCGGAAUAACUCCCCGAAAGGGGUGCUAAUACCGGAUAAUGUCCUCGGACCAAAGAUUUAUCGCCUUUGGAUGGGCCCGCGUUGGAUUAGCUAGUUGGUAGGGUAAAAGCCGACCAAGGCGACGAUCCAUAGCUGGUCUGAGAGGAUGAUCAGCCACACUGGGACUGAGACACGGCCCAGACUCCUACGGGAGGGAGCAGUGGGGGAUAUUGGACAAUGGGCGAAAGCCUGAUCCAGCAAUGCCGCGUGAGUGAUGAAGGCCUUAGGGUUGUAAAGCUCUUUUACCCGGGAUGAUAAUGACGGUACCGGGAGAAUAAGCUCCGGCUAACUCCGUG